ACAGAGGGUGCUAGCGUUAUUCGGAUUCACUGGGCGUAAAGGGCGCGUAGGUGGUUUAGCAAGUUUGAUGUGAAAGCCCUGGGCUCAAUCCAGGAAGUGCAUCAAAUACUGCUAGGCUAGAGCAUGGGAGAGGAGGACGGAAUUCCUGGUGUAGAGGUAAAAUUCGUAGAUAUCAGGAGGAACAACAGUGGCGAAGGCGGUUCUCUGGACCAUUGCUGACACUGAGGCGCGAAAGCGUGGGUAGCAAACAG
rnacentral:rRNA from 1 species